GUGCUCGAUUCAGCAGCACAUAUACUAAAACUGAACAAUACAGAGAAGAUUAGCAUGGUCCCUGCACAAGGAGGACAUGCAAAUCCAUGAAGUGUUCCAUAUUCUU
ensembl:snRNA U6 U6 spliceosomal RNA